rnacentral:lncRNA from 10 species
GCAGACGUCCCUUCCCCAGCCAGGCUGCCACCUCGCAGUUCAAUCUCAGACUGCUGUGCUAGCAGUGGGGAAGGCUCCGUGGGCAUGGAAACUGCCGAGCCAGGCACAGUAGAGAAUCACCUUGUCUGCCGGUUGCUAAGACCUUUGGAAAAGUGCAGUAUUUGGGUGAGAGUGUCCUAUUUUUCCAGGUACAGUCUGUCACGUCUUCCCUUGGCUAGGAAAGGGAAAUCCCCCGACCCCUUACACUUUCCGGGUGAGGCAACGCCCCACUCUGCUUCAGCUCACCCUCCAUGGGCUGCACUCACCUUCCAACCAGUCUCAAUGAGAUGAACCAGGUACCUCAGUUGGAAAUGCAGAAAUCACCCGUCUUCUGCGUCAAUCACGCUGAGAACUGCAGACCAGAGCUGUUCCUAUUUGGCCAUCUUGGAACCGGUCUGAGUCUGUUUUAGCCAGAUCAAGUACUUGGUGAGAGAACCUUUGUGGGAGCGCAGAAGUCCAGCAGAGAGACCCUAGCACUUUAUUUGGACCAAAAAAUAAAUAAUAAAUAAAUAAAUAAAUAAAUCCAAAACUAGAUGCAUUAAAGAAGACUUCUCCUAUGGAGAAUGCAGCAAGAAAAUACCAUCUUGAAGCAGAGAGCAGCGCUCAUCAGGCAUCAGUCCUUCUGGAGCCUUGAUCUUGGACCUCCCAGCUCCAAAAUAAUAAGUAAUAAAUUGUUAUUGCUUAUAAAUUACACAGUCUCAGGUAUUUUGUUACAGCACCACAGAAUAAGACAACAUAUUAAUAUAAUCUUGACACUUGUCUACCCCACUCAAGAGGGAACAAGGGAAGUGGAGCAUAUGCAUCUGUAGAAAAGUUCUGAGAGACCACCAGAAUCCCUAUUUAAGCUGACUAAUGAAAGUCUUUCUCUUUUGAAAAUAGUCAGUAAAGAUUGGAAGAGGUAACUCCUUUUUCAAAUGCGAAGAUAGUAGUGAAAGACUUCAAAGAAUGCAAAAAAUCAAGGACACAUGACUUCACUAAAGGAACACGAUAAUAUAUCAGUAACCAUCCCAAAGAAAUGGAGAUCUAUAAAUUGCCUGAUGAAGGAUUCAAAAUAAUUGUUCUAAGGAACCCCAGCAAACUACAAGAGAAAACAGACAACUCAGUGAACUCAGAAAAAAUACAUGAACAAAAUUAGAAGUUCAAUAAAGUGAUAGAAAUUAUAAAAAAGAUACAAGCAGAAAUUCUGGAACUGAAUAAUAUAAUUAAAUGAAAAAUUCAAUAGAGAGCUUCAGACGCAGACUUAAGCAGAAGAAAAAAUCUCUGAGCACAGACAGAUUAGAUAAAAUUAUCCAGUUAAAGGAGAAAAAAUAACAAUAAAGAGUGAAGCCGAUUAGAUUUAUCGGACUUCAUCAAAUAAAUGAAUUAAUAUAUACAUUAUGAAAGAGAGAUAGAAAAAGGGGACAAAAGCUUACUUAAAGAAAAAAUGGCUGAAAACUUCCCAAAUCUUGAGAGGGAUAUGAACAUCUUGGUUCAUGAAGCUCAAAAAUCCACAGACAGGAAAACCCAAAGAAGAUUAUAAUGAGACACAUCACAUUAUAACAAAAUUAUCAAAAGUCAAAGCCAGAAUUUUGAAAGCAGCAAGAGAGAAGCAGAUUGCAACAUUCAAGGGAACCUCCACAAGGCUAUGAGUAGAUAUCUCAGCAGAAACCCUGCAGGGCAGGAGAGAGUAGGAUGAAAUAUUCAAAAUGCUAAAGGUGGAAAAAAAAAAAACCCCUGCCAAUCAAGAAUACUAUACCUGGCAAACCUGUCCUUCAGAACUGAAGGAGAGAUAGACUUUCCCAGGCAAACAAAAGCUGGGCUUCCUCAGCUUUGCUACUACACUCGCCUUACAAGAAAUGCGAAAAGGAGUUAAGUUUAAAGAAAAGGAUGCUAAUUAGUAACACAAAAACAUAAAAGUGUUCAUAUGUUUACUCACUGGUUAAAGUAAGUUGAUAGUCAAAUUUAGAAUGCUGUAAGAUUGCAAUGGUGGUAUAUAAAUCACUUUUCUAGUACAAAAGAAGACAAAGUAUUAAAAAUUCAGUUGACCUAUUGUCCGAAGAAAUUGCUCUAUAAAGAGGAAGUGCCUCCUUAUAUUCAAACAAAAUAAAACAAAAGCUUAGACAACCAUUCAGAAAUAUAGUCUGAUAGAACAGAAAGUCUUAGACAGGGAGGCCUGGUUCUGUCUUUUUCCCCUGCUAGAUACUGUUUUCCUAUAUUGGAUGAGUUCUUUAACUUUCCUUGUCUGUUUUCCCAUGCAUAAAAGAAAGGAAAAGAUUCAGAAGAUGGGUGCAUUCUGGGGUCUUGUUAAAAUGCAGGCUCUGACUCAGAAGGUCUAGGGUGGGUCCCAGAUUCUACAUUGCCAAUAAACUCCCAGGUGAUGCUGGUCCAUACUUAGGUUAAUACUACUACAUAUUCAU